GACGGAAGGUGCAAGCGUUGCUCGGAAUCACUGGGCGUAAAGGGUGCGUAGGCGGCCGUGCAAGUCUGUCGUGAAAGCCCCGGGCUCAGCCCGGGAAGUGCGCUCGAAACUGCGCGGCUCGAGUGCCGGAGGGGAGAGUGGAAUUCCUGGUGUAGCGGUGAAAUGCGUAGAUAUCAGGAGGAAUACCGGUGGCGAAAGCGACUCUCUGGACGGCAACUGACGCUGAGGCACGAAAGCGUGGGGAGCAAACAGG
rnacentral:rRNA from 1 species